rnacentral:misc_RNA from 1 species
UAAAUUCUCAAUCCCCUCUAGCUUUUGCAGUCGGGACUUGGAUAGUGGAGGUAUUUGCAGGCCCAGGUGGUCGGCUCCUCUGAAAUGCAUUAGCAGAACUGUUUGCGGUCCAUUACAGGUGUGAUAAUUAUCUACAUCCAGUGGGUUGCUUUCUGAAAGUUCAGCUGCCAAUGGUCUUCUCUGUGAGACAACAUUCUGAAC